AGUUUGAUCAUGACUCAGAUUGAACGCUGGCGGAAUGCUUUACACAUGCCNNUUCGAACGGCAGCACGGACUUCGGUCUGGUGGCGAGUGGCGAACGGGUGAGUAAUAUAUCGGAACGUGCCCAGUCGUGGGGGAUAACGUAGUGAAAAUUACGCUAAUACCGCGUACGAUCUAUGGAUGAAAGCGGGGGACUCGCAAGAGCCUCGCGCGAUUGGAGCGGCCGAUAUCAGAUUAGGUAGUUGGUGAGGUAAAGGCUCACCAAGCCCGCGAUCUGUAGCUGGUCUGAGAGGACGACCAGCCACACUGGAACUGAGACACGGUCCAGACUCCUACGGGAGGCAGCAGUGGGGAAUUUUGGACAAUGGACGAAAGUCUGAUCCAGCCAUUCCGCGUGCAGGAUGAAGGCCCUCGGGUUGUAAACUGCUUUUGUACGGAACGAAAAGGUCUCUCCUAAUACGAGAGGCUCAUGACGGUACCGUAAGAAUAAGCACCGGCUAACUACGUGCCAGCAGCCGCGGUAAUACGUAGGGUGCAAGCGUUAAUCGGAAUUACUGGGCGUAAAGCGUGCGCAGGCGGUUAUAUAAGACAGAUGUGAAAUCCCCGGGCUCAACCUGGGAACUGCAUUUGUGACUGUAUAGCUAGAGUACGGUAGAGGGGGAUGGAAUUCCGCGUGUAGCAGUGAAAUGCGUAGAUAUGCGGAGGAACACCGAUGGCGAAGGCAAUCCCCCUGGACCUGUACUGACGCUCAUGCACGAAAGCGUGGGGAGCAAACAGGGAUUAGAUACCCUGGUAGUCCACGCCCUUAAACGAUGUCAACUGGUUGUUGGGUCUUAACUGACUCAGUAAC
rnacentral:rRNA from 1 species